rnacentral:rRNA from 1 species
GUCUACAGCCAUGCUACCCUGAAUAAGCCUGAUCCCGUCUGAUCUUGGAAGCUAAACGGGAUCGGGCCUGGUUAGGACUUGGAUGGGAGGCCACCUAGGAAGACCAGGUGCUGUAGGGG